rnacentral:rRNA from 1 species
CAAUAGCGUAUAUUAAAGUUGUUGCAGUUAAAAAGCUCGUAGUUGGAUUUCUGGUGGGAGCGAUCGGUCUGGCGCUUAGCGCGAGUACUUGCAUCGUCUCCGGCCAUCCUUGGGGAGAGUCUGUCUGGCAUUAAGUUGUCGGGCAGAGGAUCCUCAUCGUUUACUGUGAAAAAAUUAGAGUGUUCAAAGCAGGCUUAUGCCGUUGAAUAUAUUAGCAUGGAAUAAUAAGAUAGGACUUUGGUACUAUUUUGUUGGUUUGCGCACCAAAGUAAUGAUUAAUAGGGACAGUUGGUGGUAUUCGUAUUCCGUUGUCAGAGGUGAAAUUCUUGGAUUUACGGAAGACGAACUACUGCGAAAGCAUUUACCAAGGAUGUUUUCAUUAA